GCCUGGGUGGCUCAGUCGGUUGAGCGUCCGACUUCGGCUCAGGUCAUGAUCUCAUGGUCUGUGGGUUCGAGCCCCGUGUCGGGCU
rnacentral:tRNA from 1 species